rnacentral:lncRNA from 1 species
AAUGUAAAAGCUAAUUAUUUUUAGUCUUCUUUACUUUCAGCAUAGAGAUCUGCGUGGCACCAUCCUGCAUGGCAGCAAGGACAGACCACACCUGUUGUGAAUAAACAUCCUUUUGCAGAGAGAAGAGAAAGAAGUUUGAUUCUCAUCAGUUAGGACCAUUUUAAAACAGGCUGAAAUGCAGGUUAUUGUGGUGGAAGCCUCUGAAGGUGUCCAGUCACAACCAGGAUGUGUCCUUCAAAGCAGGGGUUCACUCGCAGCUCUGAUGACCCAGACACACAGCCA